rnacentral:rRNA from 1 species
UACGUAGGGAGCAAGCGUUGUCCGGAAUCAUUGGGCGUAAAGCGCGCGUAGGCGGCCUCAUAAGUCCGUUGUGAAAGUCAAAGGCUCAACCUUUGAAAGCCGAUGGAUACUGUGAGGCUAGAGUCCGGAAGAGGCGAGUGGAAUUCCUGGUGUAGCGGUGGAAUGCGCAGAUAUCGGGAGGAACACCAGUGGCGAAGGCGGCGACCUGGGCCAAUACUGACGCUGAGGUGCGAAAGCGUGGGGAGCAAACAGG